GAAGUAGCGGCCGCUUUUCUUCUUCUUCUUCUUCUCACUCUCACUCUGUCACUCACAGUCACAGCAAGGAUUCAUCAUUCAUGAUCAACGAACACAGAAACAAGCCAACAAGUAACUGAACCAUGAAAGAACCAAGUCAAGACACACCUACACCGGCUCAAACUGAAGAUGGAUCCUCUAAUGUACCUAGUCAAUCUACGCAUGGAGUUGAAGCUCAAUAUACACUUGGAUUUGGAGCUCAAUCUACACCUCCUGAAGUUACUACUAUAGCAGAUGAUGAAAACAAAGACAAGUCUAAAGUUACAUCUGAAGUAUGAUUACAAUUCACAAGGUUAAGUGGAGAUCGAGCAAAAUUUCAUCAUUGUUUGCGCACCUUUGCUGCUAACACAGGAAGAAAUGACACUUCUGGCUUGUGGGUUCAUUUGGAUACGUGCCGCAAAAAUCCAAACAAGAAGAACAAAGGACAGAAAAGUUUGUUGUUUCCUCCCCCAAACCAGGUUAGGAUGGUAAGUUAGUUGCUUCUAUUUUUAAUCAUGAAAAGUGUAGAAGGGAUUUAGUUGAAUUUAUAAUCAAAGCUGAGUUACCAUUUAGAAAGGUAGAAAAUGAAGGGUUUAGGGCUUAUAGUCAGAUGUUGGAAUUUAGAUUCAAGGUCCCCGGUCGCAUGACUAUUUAUAGCGAUCUUUUGAUAAUCUACAGAGAUGAGAAAAAUAGUUUAAAAGAUUACUUCAAGGCAUCCGAACAGAGGGUAUUUUUGACUAGUGAUACAUGGAUAUCAUGAUGUAGUUUUGAAAGUGAUAAGUAGAAGUUCGUUCAAAGAUUUGUAAAGAUUUGAUUUCAAACUUAA